GGGGUUUUAAAAGUGUCCGCAGCCGGGAUGGGUAAGCGGUUCGUCAAAAGCCCACCGCUCAACGGUGGAAAGGCGUACCGAACUGCCCAUCUUGAGGCACGCUCAGGGCAGGCGGAAUUCCCGGUGUAGCGGUGAAAAUGCGUAGAUAUCGGGAGGAACACCGAAGGCGAAGGCAGCCUGCUGGAGCUGUUCUGACGGUCAGGGACGAAAGCUG
rnacentral:rRNA from 1 species